rnacentral:tRNA from 1 species
GCGGGGGUGCCGGAGCCUGGUCAAACGGGCAGGACUUAAGAUCCUGUGACUUAGGUCUGCGCGCGUUCGAAUCGCGUCCCCCGCA